UAUGUAUUGUUUCUGAAUAUACCGCCGGC
rnacentral:piRNA from 1 species